rnacentral:rRNA from 1 species
UACGAAGGGGGCUAGCGUUGCUCGGAAUCACUGGGCGUAAAGGGCGCGUAGGCGGGUUUUUAAGUCAGGGGUGAAAUCCUGGAGCUCAACUCCAGAACUGCCUUUGAUACUGGGAGUCUUGAGUCCGGGAGAGGUGAGUGGAACUGCGAGUGUAGAGGUGAAAUUCGUAGAUAUUCGCAAGAACACCAGUGGCGAAGGCGGCUCACUGGCCCGGUACUGACGCUGAGGUGCGAAAGCGUGGGGAGCAAACAGG